rnacentral:rRNA from 1 species
GUGUCAGCAGCCGCGGUAAUACCGGCAGUCCGAGUGAUGGCCGAUCUUAUUGGGCCUAAAGCGUCCGUAGCUGGCUGAACAAGUCCGUUGGGAAAUCUGUCCGCUUAACGGGCAGGCGUCCAGCGGAAACUGUUCAGCUUGGGACCGGAAGACCUGAGGGGUACGUCUGGGGUAGGAGUGAAAUCCUGUAAUCCUGGACGGACCGCCGGUGGCGAAAGCGCCUCAGGAGAACGGAUCCGACAGUGAGGGACGAAAGCCAGGGUCUCGAACCGG